rnacentral:rRNA from 1 species
UGAUAUACCCGUACCGUAAACCGACACAGGUGGAUGAGGAGAGAAUCCUAAGGCCGACGGGAGAAGCAUUGUUAAGGAACUCGGCAAAAUGACUCCGUAACUUCGGGAGAAGGAGUGCCAUGUAAAAGUGGCCGCAGAGAAUUGGCCCAAGCAACUGUUUAGCAAAAACACAGGUCUAUGCAAAACCGAAAGGUGAGGUAUAUGGGCUGACGCCUGCCCGGUGCUGGAAGGUUAAGGGGAGAGGUUAGUCGUAAGGCGAAGCUUUGAACUUAAGCCCCAGUAAACGGCGGCCGUAACUAUAACGGUCCUAAGGUAGCGAAAUUCCUUGUCGGGUAAGUUCCGACCCGCACGAAAGGCGUAAUGAUUUGGGCACUGUCUCAACAAUGCACCCGGUGAAAUUGAAAUACCAGUGAAGAUGCUGGUUACCUGCGCCAGGACGGAAAGACCCCAUGGAGCUUUACUCCAGCUUGAUACUGGGAUUCGAUAUUGCAUGUACAGGAUAGGUGGGAGACUGAGAACUGAUGACGCCAGUUGUCAGGGAGUCACUGUUGGGAUACCACCCUUGUAGUAUUGGAUUUCUAACCAGCAGCCGUGAACCGGCUGGGGGACAAUGUCAGGUGGGGAGUUUGACUGGGGCGGUCGCCUCCGAAAGGGUAUCGGAGGCGCUCAAAGGUUCCCUCAGAAUGGUUGGAAACCAUUCGAAGAGUGCAAAGGCAGAAGGGAGCUUGACUGCGACACCGACGGGUGGAGCAGGUACGAAAGUAGGACUUAGUGAUCCGGUGGUAUAAAGUGGGAUUGCCAUCGCUCAACGGAUAAAAGCUACCCUGGGGAUAACAGGCUUAUCUCCCCCAAGAGUUCACAUCGACGGAGUGGUUUGGCACCUCGAUGUCGGCUCAUCGCAUCCUGGGGCUGAAGUAGGUCCCAAGGGUUGGGCUGUUCGCCCAUUAAAGCGGUACGCGAGCUGGGUUCAGAACGUCGUGAGACAGUUCGGUCCCUAUCCGGCGUGGGCGUAGGAUAUUUGAGAGGAGCUGCCCUUAGUACGAGAGGACCGGGGUGGACUGGCCGCUGGUGGAUCUGUUGUAUUACCAAAUGCAUAGCAGAGUAGCCAAGCCGGGACGGGAUAAACGCUGAAGGCAUCUAAGCGUGAAGCCCCCCUCAAGAUGAGAUAUCCCAUAACGUCAAGUUAGUAAGACCCCUUGAAGACGACGAGGUAGAUAGGGCAGAGGUGGAAGUGCGGUAACGCAUGGAGCUGACUGUUACUAAUAGGUCGAGGGCAUAACCAA